rnacentral:rRNA from 1 species
UACGGGGGGGGCAAGCGUUGUUCGGAAUUACUGGGCGUAAAGGGUUCGUAGGUGGCCUGCUAAGUCACACGUGAAAUCCCUCAGCUUAACUGGGGAACUGCGUGUGAUACUGGCGAGCUUGAGUGCAGGAGAGGAACGCGGAAUUCCAGGUGUAGCGGUGAAAUGCGUAGAUAUCUGGAGGAACACCGGUGGCGAAGGCGGCGUUCUGGACUGCAACUGACACUGAUGAACGAAAGCGUGGGGAGCAAACAGG